GAUGAAGAACGUAGCGAAAUGCGAUAAGUAAUGUGAAUUGCAGAAUUCAGUGAAUCAUCGAAUCUUUGAACGCACAUUGCGCCCCUUGGUAUUCCGAGGGGCAUGCCUGUUCGAGCGUCAUAUUAACCACUCCCGCUUGCGGGGUCUUGGGCUUCGCCUCCGGGCGGGCCUUAAAAUCAGUGGCGGUGCCGUCGGGCUCUACGCGUAGUAAAUUUUCUCGCGAUAGGGUCCCGGUGGAUGCUUGCCAACAACCCCCAACUUCUUAAGGUUGACCUCGGAUCAGGUAGGGAUACCCGCUUAACUUAAGCAUAUCAAUAAGCGGAGGA
rnacentral:misc_RNA from 1 species